CAAAGUAUUCCUAUGUCUUCAUACAGGGCUGGCCUCUUUAAGGAGAUUCAGCACCCUGCCUAAGCCGCUUGCAAGGCAUCACACUGAGCCAGACAGAAUACUCCUCCAUACUGAUGAGGGGCAAGC